GACGAACGCUGGCGGCGUGCUUAACACAUGCAAGUCGAACGGAAAGGCCCUGCUUUUGUGGGGUGCUCGAGUGGCGAACGGGUGAGUAACACGUGAGUAACCUGCCCUUGACUUUGGGAUAACUUCAGGAAACUGGGGCUAAUACCGGAUAGGAGCUCCUGCUGCAUGGUGGGGGUUGGAAAGUUUCGGCGGUUGGGGAUGGACUCGCGGCUUAUCAGCUUGUUGGUGGGGUAGUGGCUUACCAAGGCUUUGACGGGUAGCCGGCCUGAGAGGGUGACCGGCCACAUUGGGACUGAGAUACGGCCCAGACUCCUACGGGAGGCAGCAGUGGGGAAUAUUGCACAAUGGGCGGAAGCCUGAUGCAGCAACGCCGCGUGCGGGAUGACGGCCUUCGGGUUGUAAACCGCUUUCGCCUGUGACGAAGCGUGAGUGACGGUAAUGGGUAAAGAAGCACCGGCUAACUACGUGCCAGCAGCCGCGGUGAUACGUAGGGUGCGAGCGUUGUCCGGAUUUAUUGGGCGUAAAGGGCUCGUAGGUGGUUGAUCGCGUCGGAAGUGUAAUCUUGGGGCUUAACCCUGAGCGUGCUUUCGAUACGGGUUGACUUGAGGAAGGUAGGGGAGAAUGGAAUUCCUGGUGGAGCGGUGGAAUGCGCAGAUAUCAGGAGGAACACCAGUGGCGAAGGCGGUUCUCUGGGCCUUUCCUGACGCUGAGGAGCGAAAGCGUGGGGAGCGAACAGGCUUAGAUACCCUGGUAGUCCACGCUGUAAACGGUGGGUACUAGGUGUGGGGUCCAUUCCACGGGUUCCGUGCCGUAGCUAACGCUUUAAGUACCCCGCCUGGGGAGUACGGCCGCAAGGCUAAAACUCAAAGGAAUUGACGGGGCCCCGCACAAGCGGCGGAGCAUGCGGAUUAAUUCGAUGCAACGCGUAGAACCUUGCCUGGGUUUGACAUGGAUCGGGAGUGCUCAGAGAUGGGUGUGCCUCUUUUGGGGUCGGUUCACAGGUGGUGCAUGGCUGUCGUCAGCUCGUGUCGUGAGAUGUUGGGUUAAGUCCCGCAACGAGCGCAACCCUUGUUCACUGUUGCCAGCACGUUAUGGUGGGGACUCAGUGGAGACCGCCGGGGUUAACUCGGAGGAAGGUGGGGAUGACGUCAAGUCAUCAUGCCCCUUAUGUCCAGGGCUUCACGCAUGCUACAAUGGCUGGUACAGAGAGUGGCGAGCCUGUGAGGGUGAGCGAAUCUCGGAAAGCCGGUCUCAGUUCGGAUUGGGGUCUGCAACUCGACCUCAUGAAGUCGGAGUCGCUAGUAAUCGCAGAUCAGCAACGCUGCGGUGAAUACGUUCCCGGG
rnacentral:rRNA from 1 species